UAGUCAAUAUGGGAUCACUAUAGUGGAAUUGAUGGACUAAUCAGGGGAAGACACCUGUAAAGGGAAAGAAUCUUCUAGAAGGGAAAAAGGUUUUCUGUUAUAGGAAAGGAGGUCGUCUGGCAGGGUGGAGGGGAGGUACCUGGGCUGUUGGCAGGAGCUCUGGGCAGGCCGUUAGAGAUAUUUGGGAGAGGGGCAGAGAGCUUUGGGGAAGGGGGGAGGUUCCUGGAGCUGGAGAGGAGGAUAGUUUAGCUUGAGAAGCGAGGGAGGCAAGCGAGAAGAAGAGACAGAGCAUAUUUCUGGAGCUGGAGGGUGGUUUUGAGGUUGGUUUGAGAGAUAUUUUUGAGAAAAAAAGAGUCUGAGGGUAAGGAAGGAUCCAUAGUCUGGAGCAGGGAUCUUUGAGAGGGUAAAUGAGCAGUGGAGGGAUAUUUUCAGCUGGUUAGAGAGAGUUCAUGAAAGCUGUUUGAAGAAAGACACGGAGGAAUAGCCUUGGAAGAGGGUGAUACAGGUGAGCCAUGAAGGAUCAAUUGGCAGUUGAGAUGAACAUCCAUGCAAUUGAAGCCAUUAUCAUCAGCAAGCUUCCACUCCCAAACGACUUCAACUUUCCUCCACCAUUGCUCGUUGGAGUUGCCUUUGAGUCCGCACUUGAACUGGACCCAGAGGAGGAAGAUGAAGUUGAAGUUGAAGCUGGUGGGGAAUCUGUGGAGGACUCUGCACUUGAAUCUGCUUCUUUAAAGAUCUUCGCGUCUGCUGAAUCUGGUGGAAGGCUCAGUAAAGCUGUGAACAACACAGACCAACAAGACAUAAUAAUACAUCUGGUGUGUUAAUUCAAACUUCAAAGACAAGCAAUACUUAUUCAAA